GAUGAACGCUGGCGGCGUGCUUAACACAUGCAAGUCGAACGGAAAGGCUCCUGCUUGCAGGGGUACUCGAGUGGCGAACGGGUGAGUAACACGUGGGUGAUCUGCCCUGCACUUCGGGAUAAGCCUGGGAAACUGGGUCUAAUACCGGAUAGGACCACAUUUUGGAUGGUGUGGUGGAAAGUUUUUCGGUGUGGGAUGAGCUCGCGGCCUAUCAGCUUGUUGGUGGGGUAAUGGCCUACCAAGGCGUUGACGGGUAGCCGGCCUGAGAGGGUGUACGGCCACAUUGGGACUGAGAUACGGCCCAGACUCCUACGGGAGGCAACAGUGGGGAAUAUUGCACAAUGGGCGCAAGCCUGAUGCAGCGACGCCGCGUGGGGGAUGACGGCCUUCGGGUUGUAAACUCCUUUCGCUAGGGACGAAGCGCAAGUGACGGUACCUGGAGAAGAAGCACCGGCUAACUACGU
rnacentral:rRNA from 1 species